UCCAUUGCCAUGGAGAUGAAAGCUCCUAUUUAUCUGCAGAACAGGUACAGUAUAGUGGCAAGCCACGCUUCCCUACACUGGCUCCCAAAUAUGCCUCAACUCUGACCUGGCAAUGACCACCCUUAGGGAUAAGGGAGUUCAGUCUUCAUUGCCCAGUCAGUCCUGCCUCUCU
rnacentral:sRNA from 1 species